rnacentral:rRNA from 1 species
ACCUUUCAACGAUGGACCUCUUGGUUCUCGCAACGAUGAAGAACGCGGCAAAAUGCGAAAAUGUAGUAUGAAUUGCAGAAUUUAUUGAAUCAUCGACUCUUUGAACGCACAUUGCGCCGAAUUGACCCAGUUAAUUUGGCAUGCUAGGCUGAGUCUCAG